CACGUAGGGUGCGAGCGUUGUCCGGAAUUAUUGGGCGUAAAGAGCUCGUAGGCGGUGUGUCGCGUCGGCCGUGAAAACCUGCAGCUUAACUGUGGGCUUGCGGUCGAUACGGGCAUCACUGGAGUUCGGCAGGGGAGACUGGAAUUCCUGGUGUAGCGGUGAAAUGCGCAGAUAUCAGGAGGAACACCGGUGGCGAAGGCGGCAUCCUGGACCAAUACUGACACUGAGGAGCGAAAGCCAGGGGAGCAAACGGG
rnacentral:rRNA from 1 species